GCGACGAUCAGUAGCCGGCCUGAGAGGGUGAACGGCCACACUGGAACUGAGACACGGUCCAGACUCCUACGGGAGGCAGCAGUGGGGAAUAUUGCACAAUGGGGGAAACCCUGAUGCAGCGACGCCGCGUGAGUGAAGAAGGUCUUCGGAUCGUAAAACUCUGUCCUUGGUGAAGAAAAAAAUGACGGUAGCCAAGGAGGAAGCCCCGGCUAACUACGUGCCAGCAGCCGCGGUAAUACGUAGGGGGCGAGCGUUGUCCGGAUUUACUGGGCGUAAAGGGUGAGUAGGCGGUAAUAUGUGUCAGAUGUAAAAGGCGUAGGCUCAACCUAUGUUAGCAUUUGAAACUGUAUUACUUGAGUGCAGGAGAGGUAAGUGGAAUUCCUAGUGUAGCGGUGAAAUGCGUAGAUAUUAGGAGGAACACCAGUGGCGAAGGCGACUUACUGGACUGUAACUGACGCUGAGUCACGAAAGCGUGGGUAGCAAACAGGAUUAGAUACCCUGGUAGUCCACGCUGUAAACGAUGAGUGCUAGGUGUUGGGUAGCGAUAUUCAGUGCCGAAG
rnacentral:rRNA from 1 species